GAUGAAGAACGCAGUGAAAUGCGAUAAGUAGUGUGAAUUGCAGAAUUCAGUGAAUCAUCGAAUCUUUGAACGCACAUUGCGCCCCUUGGUAUUCCGGGGGGCAUGCCUGUUCGAGCGUCAUUAUCACCCCUCAAGCUCAGCUUGGUGUUGGGGCCGGCCCGUCACAGGGCCGCCCCUAAAAGCAGUGGCGGUGCCAUCUGGCUCUACGCGUAGUAAUACUCCUCGCGACAGAGUCCCGGUGGUCUCCUGCCAGAACCCCCCAUUUUUUAAUGAUUGACCUCGGAUCAGGUAGGGAUACCCGCUGAACUUAAGCAUAUCAAUAAGCGGAGGA
rnacentral:misc_RNA from 1 species